GCUAGGGGAGCCGAUUGCUGAGACUGAGAUUUCCGCGGAAAUCUCUGACCCUUACCACUUGACCCGGAUAAUGCCGGCGUAAGGAAGCGGAU
rnacentral:ncRNA from 1 species